GACGAACGCUGGCGGCGUGCCUAAUACAUGCAAGUAGAACGCUGAAGCUUGGUGCUUGCACCGAGCGGAUGAGUUGCGAACGGGUGAGUAACGCGUAGGUAACCUACCUGGUAGCGGGGGAUAACUAUUGGAAACGAUAGCUAAUACCGCAUAAGAGUAGAUGUUGCAUGACAUUUGCUUAAAAGGUGCAAUUGCAUCACUACCAGAUGGACCUGCGUUGUAUUAGCUAGUUGGUGAGGUAACGGCUCACCAAGGCAACGAUACAUAGCCGACCUGAGAGGGUGAUCGGCCACACUGGGACUGAGACACGGCCCAGACUCCUACGGGAGGCAGCAGUAGGGAAUCUUCGGCAAUGGACGGAAGUCUGACCGAGCAACGCCGCGUGAGUGAAGAAGGUUUUCGGAUCGUAAAGCUCUGUUGUAAGAGAAGAACGAGUGUGAGAGUGGAAAGUUCACACUGUGACGGUAUCUUACCAGAAAGGGACGGCUAACUACGUG
rnacentral:rRNA from 1 species